GGGAUUGUAGCUCACUGGUAGAGCACUUGCCUAGCAUGUGUGAGGCACUGGGUUCGAUUCUCAGCACCA
rnacentral:tRNA from 1 species